GCCUUGUUAGCGCAGUAGGUAGUGCGUCAAUCUCAUAAUCUGAAGGUCGUGGAGUUUCAAUCCUCACACAGAGCA